rnacentral:sRNA from 1 species
AUUUUUAUCACUUCCUUCUUAGAAAAAAACUUUAAACAAAUCGUAUUGUUUCAUAAACUGCAUGUAUUUUCGAGAUACAUGUAUAUUAUAACUUAGUUAUUAUUUAAUAUAUCCGGGAAAUUGGUUGUGUUUGUACGUGUGUGUUUCUACAUGUAAUGCUAAAUUCUAUGAAAAGCCCGGGUGUUGUGUAUUGCAUGUACUUGCGUGUUGUUUAAAUAAUUAUAUACUUGUAAGCCAACUCUGUUUUGUUACAUAUUUUCUUCAAAAUAAAAAUAAUGGAAGUCAGUUGGAUUUCAGGGUGGGGGAGUAUUUUCUUUCUUUUUUUUAUUUUGUUUUUGUUUUCUUUUUAAACUAAAUUGUUAUUGGACACUGACAUAUAUUAAGGUAAAUGUUUACAUUAAGAUUACUGGUUUAGGCCUACUGUGCUAAAUACCGACACGUACAAUUUUCUAUGGCAAAAUGUGUAAUGAUGAAUUCCUACACAAGUCUCUCAAAUUCGAUCUGUAUGGAUAAAUGUGACAAAUUUGAAUGGAAUAUCCUAACUUCAUAUGUUCCUAAGUUACCGUCGAGCUACAUCUUAAGUAAGAUGUGUCCUAAGUUGAUCUUAGGAAUUUCCUAACUUUUUUCCUUAUAUCAUAAGUCAUAUCUUAGGAACACACUUAGGUCAUAGCUUAGAAAAGUUUCGUGUAAACGCCUGCAUGUUCUUUACUUCCACUGAAAACAUUUUCUAUUGGUCAAUUUCUAACGAAUACAAUGCAUAUAACUUAUAAACAUGUAGUCACCAAUACUACAUUUUCCUGCUAUUACUAUCGAAAUGCGGAAAAUAUGAAUAAUAUAUUUUGAAAGGAGUUUUAU